rnacentral:rRNA from 2 species
UGAUUUACAUUUGAGUGAGUGGCGAACUGGUGAGUAACACGUGGGAAACCUGCCCAGAAGCGGGGGAUAACACCUGGAAACAGAUGCUAAUACCGCAUAACAACUUGGACCGCAUGGUCCGAGCUUGAAAGAUGGCUUCGGCUAUCACUUUUGGAUGGUCCCGCGGCGUAUUAGCUAGAUGGUGGGGUAACGGCUCACCAUGGCAAUGAUACGUAGCCGACCUGAGAGGGUAAUCGGCCACAUUGGGACUGAGACACGGCCCAAACUCCUACGGGAGGCAGCAGUAGGGAAUCUUCCACAAUGGACGAAAGUCUGAUGGAGCAACGCCGCGUGAGUGAAGAAGGGUUUCGGCUCGUAAAACUCUGUUGUUAAAGAAGAACAUAUCUGAGAGUAACUGUUCAGGUAUUGACGGUAUUUAACCAGAAAGCCACGGCUAACUACGUGCCAGCAGCCGCGGUAAUACGUAGGUGGCAAGCGUUGUCCGGAUUUAUUGGGCGUAAAGCGAGCGCAGGCGGUUUUUUAAGUCUGAUGUGAAAGCCUUCGGCUCAACCGAAGAAGUGCAUCGGAAACUGGGAAACUUGAGUGCAGAAGAGGACAGUGGAACUCCAUGUGUAGCGGUGAAAUGCGUAGAUAUAUGGAAGAACACCAGUGGCGAAGGCGGCUGUCUGGUCUGUAACUGACGCUGAGGCUCGAAAGUAUGGGUAGCAAACAGGAUUAGAUACCCUGGUAGUCCAUACCGUAAACGAUGAAUGCUAAGUGUUGGAGGGUUUCCGCCCUUCAGUGCUGCAGCUAACGCAUUAAGCAUUCCGCCUGGGGAGUACGGCCGCAAGGCUGAAACUCAAAGGAAUUGACGGGGGCCCGCACAAGCGGUGGAGCAUGUGGUUUAAUUCGAAGCUACGCGAAGAACCUUACCAGGUCUUGACAUACUAUGCAAAUCUAAGAGAUUAGACGUUCCCUUCGGGGACAUGGAUACAGGUGGUGCAUGGUUGUCGUCAGCUCGUGUCGUGAGAUGUUGGGUUAAGUCCCGCAACGAGCGCAACCCUUAUUAUCAGUUGCCAGCAUUAAGUUGGGCACUCUGGUGAGACUGCCGGUGACAAACCGGAGGAAGGUGGGGAUGACGUCAAAUCAUCAUGCCCCUUAUGACCUGGGCUACACACGUGCUACAAUGGAUGGUACAACGAGUUGCGAACUCGCGAGAGUAAGCUAAUCUCUUAAAGCCAUUCUCAGUUCGGAUUGUAGGCUGCAACUCGCCUACAUGAAGUCGGAAUCGCUAGUAAUCGCGGAUCAGCAUGCCGCGGUGAAUACGUUCCCGGGCCUUGUACACACCGCCCGUCACACCAUGAGAGUUUGUAACACCCAAAGUCGGUGGGGU